CAGGCAGAAGGUGUGGAGUGCGGCAGAGAGAAAACGGAAGGCAAAGAAGAGGUGCUGUGAAAGAGGAACUAGCAUGGCCGUACGAAGCCAAGGUGUGGAGAAGCAGCUCAGAUGGGGACGGGGUGAAGAUGCCCGGGAAAACUGCGGUAAAAAAGAAUGGAUGGGGAGGCCAUGAGGUGCCUCUCAGUUUCUGAUCUGCAAUCUUCCAGGUUCUGUUAAAAUCUCCCAGGAAACAGCGUCAAGUCCCACCCCCAGAUACUAGCUCCCGUUUGUUUCUGUCCAGAUAUCGACUCUGACUUCCGAGGCUUCUGAGGAACCCAGGGAAGCACACAGUGAGCCUCUGCCUGGGUCUCCCAGCUUCCCCCGGCACAGGUGUGGCUCUCUGCAAUCACAGCCCUGCCUGCCCUGUUUGCAGGGCCACCUGCCCUGGACGGCCGUGCAGACGGCCCGCAGACGACAGGCAGAGAAGAUGACGUGAGGGCAGACGGAGCUGGAGGUGCUGAGAUUUACACGCCAGCACAGAUGGCAGUUCAGCCUUGGGCCUGUGCGUGAAGCCCGCUGUGCCUCUCACAAAGAAGACAGGCUUUUCAAAAGGGGUACUGAGCACUGCCAGCCCAGGAGGGG
ensembl:lincRNA